rnacentral:rRNA from 1 species
AGUGAACGAGGGAGGAAGGAGGAACACAGGCAAGUCGAACGGCAGCACAGUAAGAGCUUGCUCUUACGGGUGGCGAGUGGCGGACGGGUGAGGAAUACAUAGUACACUACUUUUUCGUGGGGGAUAACGUAGGGAAACUUACGCUAAUACCGCAUACGACCUACGGGUGAAAGCAGGGGAUCUUCGGACCUUGCGCGAUUGAAUGAGCCGAUGUCGGAUUAGCUAGUUGGCGGGGUAAAGGCCCACCAAGGGGACGAUCCGUAGCUGGUCUGAGAGGAUGCUGAGCCACACUGGAACUGAGACACGGUCCAGACUCCUACGGGAGGCAGCAGUGGGGAAUAUUGGACAAUGGGCGCAAGCCUGAUCCAGCCAUACCGCGUGGGUGAAGAAGGCCUUCGGGUUGUAAAUCCGUGUUGUGUCGAAAGAAAAGCAGCAGGUUAAUACCCCGCUGUUCUGACGGUACCCAAAGAAUAAGACCCGGCUCCUUUCGUU